rnacentral:rRNA from 1 species
AACGAACGCUGGCGGCAGGCCUAACACAUGCAAGUCGAGCGCCCGCAAGGGAGCAGCAGACGGGUGAGUAACGCGUGGGAAUCUACCCCGAGGUACGGAACAACUCGGCGAAAGCUGAGCUGAUACCGUAUGUGACCGAGAGGUGAAAGAUUUAUCGCCUCGGGAUGAGCCCGCGUAGGAUUAGCUAGUUGGUGGGGUAACGGCCCACCAAGGCGACGAUCCUUAGCUGGUCUGAGAGGAUGAUCAGCCACACUGGGACUGAGACACGGCCCAGACUCCUACGGGAGGCAGCAGUGGGGAAUAUUGGACAGUGGGGGCAACCCUGAUCCAGCCAUGCCGCGUGAGUGAUGAAGGCCUUAGGGUUGUAAAGCUCUUUCGCCCGCGAAGAUAAUGACGAUAGCGGGAGAAGAAGCCCCGGCUAACUUCGUGCCAGCCGCCGCCGUAACAC